rnacentral:rRNA from 1 species
GGAGCAAUCCUGGCGGCGAGUGGCGAACGGGUGAGUAAUACAUCGGAACGUGCCCAAUCGUGGGGGAUAACGCAGCGAAAGCUGUGCUAAUACCGCAUACGAUCUACGGAUGAAAGCAGGGGAUCGCAAGACCUUGCGCGAAUGGAGCGGCCGAUGGCAGAUUAGGUAGUUGGUGAGGUAAAGGCUCACCAAGCCUUCGAUCUGUAGCUGGUCUGAGAGGACGACCAGCCACACUGGGACUGAGACACGGCCCAGACUCCUACGGGAGGCAGCAGUGGGGAAUUUUGGACAAUGGGCGCAAGCCUGAUCCAGCCAUGCCGCGUGCAGGAUGAAGGCCUUCGGGUUGUAAACUGCUUUUGUACGGAACGAAACCGCUCUUUCUAAUAAAGAGGGCUAAUGACGGUACCGUAAGAAUAAGCACCGGCUAACUACGUGCCA